GCAUAUCAAUAAGCGGACGGCAAAAGAAACUAACAAAGGAUUUCCCCUAGUAACUGCGAGUGAAGCGGGAAAAAGCUCAAAUUUAAAAUCUGGCAGUCUUUGGCUGUCCGAGUUGUAUUCUGGAGAAGUGCUUUCCGCGCUGGACCGUGUAUAAGUCUCUUGGAACAGAGCGUCAUAGAGGGUGAGAAUCCCGUCUUUGACACGGACUACCAGUGCUUUGUGAUGUGCUCUCAAAGAGUCGAGUUGUUUGGGAAUGCAGCUCAAAAUGGGUGGUAAAUUCCAUCUAAAGCUAAAUAUUGGCGAGAGACCGAUAGCGAACAAGUACCGUGAGGGAAAGAUGAAAAGCACUUUGGAAAGAGAGUUAAACAGUACGUGAAAUUGUUGAAAGGGAAACGCUUGAAGUCAGUCGCGUUGGCCGGAACUCAGCCUUGCCUUUUCGCUUGGUGUAUUUUCUGGUCGACGGGCCAGCAUCGAUUUUGACCGCUGGACAAGGAUCGGUGGAAUGUGGCACCUCCGGGUGUGUUAUAGACACUGGUCGUAUACAGUAGUUGGGAUCGAGGACCGCAGCUUCGGCUUAGGAUGCUGGCGUAAUGGCUUUAAACGACCCGUCUUGAAACACGGACCAAGGAGUCUAACAUGCCUGCAAGUGUUUGGGUGGAAAACCCGAGCGCGUAAUGAAAGUAAAAGUUGAGACCUCUGUCAUGGAGGGCAUCGACGCCCGGACUUGAUCUUCGGUGACGGAUCUGCGGUAGAGCAUGUAUGUUGGGACCCGAAAGAUGGUGAACUAUGCCUGAAUAGGGUGAAGCCAGAGGAAACUCUGGUGGAGGCUCGUAGCGAUUCUGACGUGCAAAUCGAUCGUCAAAUUUGGGUAUAGGGGCGAAAGACUAAUCGGAACCAUCUAGUAGCUGGCUCUGCGAAG
rnacentral:rRNA from 1 species